rnacentral:misc_RNA from 1 species
CCACCACUGCUACUCAGGCCUCUCGCCAAGCUCUCAAGCCAACUAUGCUUCUUGCUCCGGGCAUUGUUACUGUUGCUACUGCUUACAGGUACAAGGAUGUGAUUUUUGAUGGAUGUACCAAGAUUAUAGGGGCAGGUAAGCCCUUGCGAAGUAGCCCAAUUGUUUUGUGCAGACCUAACUUUCCUGCCUUGCCUGGUUUGUCAAUGAGCAUGAGUUCACAAGGCCCUAAUCAGCAGCUGCAUGCCUGCUCUUCUAAAGAAAAAAAGUUCUCCCACCGUUCUGCUGCAUCAACCUCAGUUUUUCAAGAUAGCCACUCUUACGGAAUCCCUAGAUUACCUGCUCAGCGAAGUUCCUCUGACCUCCCUAGAGCAUACAAGAAUGACUUUUUCAGGUUGCCC